GACGAACGCUGGCGGCAUGCCUAACACAUGCAAGUCUAGGGGUAGCAAUACCACUGGCGCACGGGUGAGUAACACGUAGGUUAUCUGCCCCCAUCACAGACAUAACCCCGGGAAACCGGGGCUAAUAUCUGAUGAGGUCGCGAGAUCAAAGCUUCGGCGGAUGGGGAUGAGCCUGCGGCUGAUUAGCUAGUUGGUGAGGUAAUGGCUCACCAAGGCGACGAUCAGUAGCUGGUCUGAGAGGACGAACAGCCACACUGGAACUGAGACACGGUCCAGACUCCUACGGGAGGCAGCAGUGAGGAAUAUUGGUCAAUGGGAGCAAUCCUGAACCAGCAAUGCCGCGUGUGGGAUGACAGGGCUUCGCCUUGUAAACCACUGUCGGACGGGACGAAAGGAGGCCUCGGGCCUCUGGGACGGUACGUCAAAGGAAGGGUCGGCUAACUACGUGCCAGCAGCCGCGGUAAU
rnacentral:rRNA from 1 species